UCUAGUUGAUCUAGUGCACGUUCUAGAUGGUCCUAGUUGACUAAUUAGAGCGAGUCCUAGCCACCUCUAAUCCUCAUAAUUAGAAGCCCCGUGUGGUUCUAAACUCCUCCCUCCAAUUCUCUGGCAACGAUUAGCUCUAGACGGCAAAGCGCUGCCGGUCGUGAAGACCAUACGCUUGCAACCAAGUAGAGAGGACGUGCUUUCGGUCUUCUGUUUGGGAUCGUUCGAGGGUGGUUCGCGGGAUCAUCAUCAACGGUCGAGAGACUCCAAGUACAAUCUACACCGACUCAUCUACUUCCGCUGCACUCCCGGAGUCGAUCAAUGGCUUGCAAUAGUUUCAAUUUAGCACCACAAUUUGAGAAAGAAAAGUUAGCUGAGAAUGGUAGAAACUAUGAGGAUUGGAUCCACACUCUAAGAUGUGUUCUCGGGAGGGCAAAGAAAGAAUAUGUUCUGGAUCAACCACUUGGUGACUACCCGACCCCUGGAGCAUCGCAAGAUGUCAUCAACGUGUUUUUAUCUCACAAGAACGAUUUCAGUGUGGUCAAGUGUAUUAUGUUAGCUUGCAUGGAUAAUGUGUUACAGAAACGUUUUGAGCAUUCCAGUACUAUCUAAAUUUUCGAGACACUAGAAAUUCUAUAUCACAAAGAACCAGCUGAAGUUCAUGAGAUGACUGAAGCAAUGGUAGAGUGUAAGAUAACUGAAGGGGUUAAGCAAGGUGCUAGGCUUGCAGACUAUUAUGAUAGUAUUACUGCAAUGGGAAUUGAUUUUUCUAGGACACCAGAGAAUGACUUACUCCUCAUUUUGCUUUAUAAAGCAAUGCCCAAAACCAAUGAGAUUGGGUUGCAGAACCAACAAAAGGUACAGGUGAAAAAAAUAGAAAGUUUCAAAAAGAAACAUAACACCAAAAGUUACAAGGGUGGAGCAUCUCAUGAGACUUCAUGUUUCUACUGCAAAGAGAUAGGACACUGGGAAAGAAAUUACUUGAAGUAUCUGGCAGAUAAGAAGAACUCGUCUUCUGGUAAAGGGACUACGGAAAAUUCGCAAGCUGAGUAGAAAUGAAGUCGUGAUGCGAGUCAGGAAUGGUGAUGGGAUUGUCACUCUAGCCGUCGGUGUCACGUCUUUAAGUUUACCUUCAGGAUUUUUUUAGAACUAAAUAGUUGUUAUUUUGUUCUGAAGUUAUGUAAAAACAUUAUCUCUGGAUCAUGUUUGAUAAGUGACGGGUAUUCUUACAAAU